AGGGAGGUGAUGAUCCUUUCUCCAGAUGAUCGAUUAUGAUUAUGAUUGCAUUUUUUCAUUUCUUUAGUUCUCUGUCUGAAGAGAAAUCAAGCCAGAGAUUCUGAUCCUU